rnacentral:lncRNA from 1 species
ACUCUCUUGAUUGCUAGUGGUAACUCAGACCCUCAAGCUGGCUUAAGCAAAAAAUGGAUAAUGUUUCAGCCUAACUAAGAGAUCAGGGGCUUCAGGCAGAUCGGUGCCCAAAGGCUCACAUGUACUGUCGGCCCUGACCUCUCUGGGUCUCUCAGCUCUGCCACCUUGGGUGUUGGCUUCUUUCUCAAGUAAAAGUGCGAAAAGUGGCUGACGGUAGCUGCAAGCCCCAUACGAAAGCCCCACGCCCCUUUCGUAUGACCCGUGUUAAAAAGAGAGGACCUCUCGCCUAAUGUCUUCUGUAUCCAUCUGAGGCAUGGAUGGCUCAUGCAUGGGGCCAGAACCUACCCACAGGCCAUUGCUACGUGCAGAGGAUAUGAUCUUGUGAUUGGUAGAGGCUCUGGGAAGGUGUACUGGGCAUUGUGCCUCUGCAAGGCCAAGGAGAGGACAAGCGACGCGUGGCCCACCUGGGCUGCCAUUCAGACCUAGUCACCGACUUGGACUUCUCGCCCUUUGAUGACUUCCUCCUGGCCACAGGCUCGGCUGACA